UUUUUCUGGAUUUGAAAAUAAUUUGGGAUUGUCCCUUUUCAGCUUCCGUAGCAGAGUGCACUAUGGGGAUGGUUUUGGGGGCCGCCAUCUGCUAAGGCACUUUGGACCUAAGGCAAUAUGGAACUAUGACAAGAAAGUGUAAACUUUAGUGUUUAUUUAAUUAAUUAAGUUCAAUUAAUUAAUUAGUCUAGAGGCAAGGAAAAAUGUGGGGGUGAAGUGGGAAAGGUACUUGUGUUCUUAACUUAAAAUAUGUUCCACCUAGACCAGUUGGCUAUGAAUAUCGCAAAGCUAUAUACUUGUUUCAGGUAACCCCUUGCUCUCCUUGUUUUAUCUGAUAAAUAUGUCUUUCUAAUCAGUCCCACUAGACUUGGAUGUCAAGUGUAAAGCCACUUUAAUGGGAGCCCUGUUUCUUGUUGACUUUAUGUUCUUUGAACACAGCAACAAUUGAAGAGUAACUCAUGUACAUGUACAUGAAUUGGAUUCUGAAUCCAACACAUGAUGUGUCUUGGAGACUUAGUUUUUAGGAUUUUUGAGUGUCUUAGUAUAAUACAAGGUUUUUUUUUCACCAGAUAUGUAGCUAAAGAUAAAUGUUGUUUAGCUGAAGUAUAAAAUCUGUAAUAACCGGUGAUAAGAAUUUACAUCAAAAGUAUUCUGUAGCACUUAUUGCUGUUGGCUGUAUUAAUACGUAAUCUAGAAAGUUUCUGAACUAUGCACCGAUCAAUUUGAAACUUUAUAUAACAUCCAUCCAGAACAAACCCACAGGUAUUUGAUUUUCCCCUCCCUUGGGCCAACAGGGGUGUUCAAAUACCCCACCUUAGGGUCAUUGAUCAAAUGCCCCUACAUCUGGGACACAUGACAAAAAUAAGUCAUGCAAAGAGAAAAGUUCACUCUUUCUAUUGUGUUCCAAUAAUUUUUUUUUUUAUAUUAUGUUAUCAAAAUAUACCAGUGAUUAAAUUUUGAUAAGCAAAAUUUAGAGUUACCUCUAUACAUGGCACAAAACUUUGUUAGGUCUUCCUUUUCAGUCCACAAUGUCAUUGUCAACCAAAGAAUUUGGUUGUUUUUUGAUGUCUUCUUGCUUUAUCCUGGAGGAAUCGCUCCGUUAUUAAAUUCCUCAACCCAGUAUCAAAUUCACAUCCCCGGGGGGGGAGGGGGGAGGGCACAUCAACAAUUCAAAUGCCCGGGAGGGGUGUUGCUGUUUCUAUUUGAUCGAUAGGUUAGACCAGGAACCACUUUGUAGCGACAAGGUUCCAGUAAUGAUAUACAGUUGUUGAUGAGGCAAGUAUCAUUGUAUUUGAAAUGUUUAUAAAUUGUUGGGUGAAGUAUACUUACGUAAGUCUACGUAUAGCGUUAUUUAAAGGAAGAAAAAUGUUGUUAAAAAGGAUUAGCAUUAAGAGGGAACGUGACAGGAGAAAAUAUGUAGAGGAGUGCGCUAGCCUCCUACGCAGACACUUUUUGAGCCGCUCUUUACGCAAUCUUCCUCCCAGGAAGAUUGCAUGACGAGUUCAAAGUUGCAUCUGCGUAGGAGAAGUACGCUUGCUACUUGUAGGUAGAGCUAAGUGUUCUUGCAGGUAAUAACUAUUCGCACAGCAAUUCAAAGCAACCGCAAGUGAAUUUCUCUAAGAAAAGACACAUUAGAAUAGGAAUAAAUAAACGCCUUUUGUGUUAGCUGAUCA
rnacentral:lncRNA from 1 species